AAGUCCCGUAACGAGCGCAACCCCUAUUUUUAGUUGCCAGCACGUAAUGGUGGGGACUCUAGAAAGACUGCCUGCGCAAGCAGAGAGGAAGGAGGGGACGACGUCAAGUCAUCAUGGCCCUUACGUCCAGGGCUACACACGUGCUACAAUGGCGUAUACAAAGUGUUGCGACCUGGUGACAGGAAGCCAAUCACAGAAAGUACGUCUCAGUUCGGAUUGCAGGCUGCAACUCGCCUGCAUGAAGUUGGAAUCGCUAGUAAUCGCAAAUCAGCAAUGUUGCGGUGAAUACGUUCCCGGACCUUGUACACACCGCCCGU
rnacentral:rRNA from 1 species